rnacentral:rRNA from 1 species
AUUGAACGUUGGCGGCAUGCCUUACACAUGCAAGUCGAACGGCAGCACGGGUGCUUGCACCUGGUGGCGAGUGGCGAACGGGUGAGUAAUACAUCGGAACAUGUCCUGUAGUGGGGGAUAGCCCGGCGAAAGCCGGAUUAAUACCGCAUACGAUCUACGGAUGAAAGCGGGGGACCUUCGGGCCUCGCGCUAUAGGGUUGGCCGAUGGCUGAUUAGCUAGUUGGUGGGGUAAAGGCCUACCAAGGCGACGAUCAGUAGCUGGUCUGAGAGGACGACCAGCCACACUGGGACUGAGACACGGCCCAGACUCCUACGGGAGGCAGCAGUGGGGAAUUUUGGACAAUGGGCGAAAGCCUGAUCCAGCAAUGCCGCGUGUGUGAAGAAGGCCUUCGGGUUGUAAAGCACUUUUGUCCGGAAAGAAAUCCUUGGCCCUAAUACGGUCGGGGGAUGACGGUACCGGAAGAAUAAGCACCGGCUAACUACGUG